rnacentral:misc_RNA from 1 species
UGAAAGUCUACUACAAACAAUUAGGAAACAAUUCCCGGAGCAAAUACACCAAUUAAUACAAUCCUACCUAAGCAGCAGAACCUUCGUAAUAAAAAUCAAGGACACACAUUCUCAAGUUAAAGAUAUCAAGGCCGGGGUACCACAAGGAAGCGUCCUAGGCCCAAUACUAUAUACAUUAUACACGGCGAACAUACCAACAACUACCAACAGCACAGUAUUGACAUUCGCGGACGACACAGCUAUACUAGUCAGGCAUACUAAUCCAGAAACGGCAUCAGGCAUACUAACCCAGAAACGGCAGUCAAAAUACUACAAGGACACAUCGUAAAAAUAGAAAAUUGGCUACAA